rnacentral:rRNA from 1 species
AAACUGGAGAGUUUGAUCCUGGCUCAGAACGAACGCUGGCGGCGUGCCUAACACAUGCAAGUCGAACGGAAUGAGGGGCUUGCUCCUCAUUUAGUGGCGCACGGGUGAGUAACGCGUAGAUAAUCUGC